rnacentral:rRNA from 1 species
GUGCGAAAGGGAAUACGGUUCCAAUUCCGUAACCUAUUGAGUAUACGUUUAUUGUGGGUACUGGGCCUUGCUUGCAAGUGUUCCGGUUUUACUCAUCCUGGCAACAGAAGCUGGCAUAGAGAAGCCGUCGAAGCGUACCGAAAGAGUUUUCUUUUCUGUUUUAUAGUCGUAUUACCAUGGAAGUCUUUCGAAGAGAGAUAUGGUAAAUGGACUAGAAGAGCAUGGCCUAUAUUGCUGUGUCGCGUACGUCUUCCUCGGACCUUGAAAAUCUAUGCCAGGGCCACGUAAACAUUCUCAAUAGACCGUACCAAUAUCCGCAGCAGGUCUCCA